ensembl:snRNA U6 U6 spliceosomal RNA
GUGCUUGCUUUGGUGGCACAUAUACUAAAAUUAGUCUGAUAUAGACAAGAUAAGCAUGGUCUCUGCUCAAGGAUGGUAUGGAAAUUUGUGAAGCAUUCCAAAGAUAC